GCUGACACGUCCCGGCCAAUCUCCAGCAGACCCUCCCUCCCAGACCCUCCUACUUCCUGGACAGUAUCCAUGUUUCAACAUGUUUCAAUGAGACAUGGAUGCUGUCCAGGAAGUAGGAGGGUCUGGGAGGGAGGGUCUGCUGGAGAUUGGCCGGGACGUGUCAG